CUAUGAUUUGACGUCAGUCCCACAAUUUGUGUGUUAAAUUAUUUCGAGCACAUUUUUUGAAUCCUCAAAAUUCUCGCUGCCAUUUCGGGCAUGGAUCGUCUUCUAACUUUGCUUGUGGGCGGAAUUGUCGGCUAUAUCAUUGGCAAGAAGAUGUAAAGCUGUUUUCGAGGAAUAACUAUGGAGAGCUCUUGGCUGUUGACCUUCAUCGUUGGCUGCAUUGUUGGCUAUUUGGUUGGCAAGAACUAUUGACAGAAAGACAAAAGUGAACAAAAUUAACAGAAAUUUCGUUUCAAGAAUGGAAUUGGACUGGGUGCUUACAUUUGUGAUUGGGUGCUUGGUGGGCUAUCUGAUAGCCAAGAACUUGUAGGUUUUCAAGAAAUUAUCAAAAUUAAAAGUCAAGAACCAAGCAAAUAUUCCACCUGUUUCCUGAUCCUUGAACCAAAAUGACGCACGUGAUCUCCUUCGCCCUGGGCAUAGUUAUUGGCUUGAUGCUGUGCAGGCGAUGUUGACGCAUUCCAACCUGAAACUGGGACACUGCUUCAGCAUCUUACUGGAGCGACCACUCAUCGCGGCAGAGGUUCUCGUCCACAUGGUCGUGCUCCUGUCAGCACUCCAUGUCGCCCACAAGCCAAAUGCCCAUCGGCAUGCUCUCGAAGCAGAUCUUUCACCCACUCUUGCCGCUAAACUAAAUUUAUUAAGCAGACUGUUCAAAUAAAGAAUCAAAGAAUGAGAAUGAUACUAUAGUCGAGUCCCAGACUCAGUAGAGUUUUCUUUUCUCAGUCUGGGUGCAGUGAUGAUUUGAUGGCGGGGUUGAGGGAUACUCGGGAAUACUAAUAUGUAGAAGGGGACGUGGAGACCUUCAUAGAGUUUAUGGGUUCUUUUGAGUAGGCUUUGCAUAAACCAACAGUCAAAACAUGUACGGAAAAGUCAUUCAAAUCAAGUCGUUUACCUCAUACGGAUACAAUUUGGGAGUUUUUCGUACAAUUUCUGGUUUCUUUGGCAUCUGAUAGGAAAGGCAAGGAAAUGGAGUGGCUUUUGACAUUCAUUGUUGGUUGCAUUGUGGGUUACUUGAUUGCCAAAAACAGUCGAUAGAUAGCCGGCUUAGUGGCAGCCCAAAAUUGUAUUUAUACAAAUUUGUAAGUUUUGGAAAACGAGGAAAAUGCAGCGUUUUCUGACAUUCAUUGUUGGUGGAAUCGUGGGCUACCUCAUAGCCAAGAAUACUCGCUAAGCAAGAAUGACCCAUUUAAUCUGCUUUGGUCUGGGUGUGUGGGUCGGCAUGCUUAUGUGCCGACGCUGCGGUUCCUGAAGAAGAAGUCCUGGAGCCUUGCAGAAUCUGAUCGAAUUGAAUGCCAAGCCAAAUUUAAGUUUUUUUUGAACGUUAAGUCACACAUUUAAUAAAAGAAUUAUGCAGUAUUCAAUA